rnacentral:rRNA from 1 species
GACGAACGCUGGCGGCGUGCUUAACACAUGCAAGUCGAGCGGUAAGGCCCUUUCGGGGGUACGACGAGCGGCGAACGGGUGAGUAACACGUGGGUGACCUGCCCUCAGCUCUGGGAUAAGCCUGGGAAACCGGGUCUAAUACCGGAUAUGACUCCAUGACGCAUGUUGUGGGGUGGAAAGCCUUGUGCGGCUGAGGAUGGGCCCGCGGCCUAUCAGCUUGUUGGUGGGGUGAUGGCCUACCAAGGCGACGACGGGUAGCCGGCCUGAGAGGGCGACCGGCCACACUGGGACUGAGACACGGCCCAGACUCCUACGGGAGGCAGCAGUGGGGAAUCUUGCGCAAUGGGCGAAAGCCUGACGCAGCGA